UAAUAAUAUUUAAGUUAUAAAUUUAGAAUUUUUGUAAUUUCUGAUUGAUCCAAGUCAUUAAAUUUUUAUUUUUUAAAAAAAAAUUAGUUAAAUAUACUAAUAAAAAAAUUACACGUAAAUAAUGACUUAAUAUUUAAUGGCCAAGUACUUCAGAAUUCAAGAAAUAUAACUUAAGUAUUAUUACUGCGAAAAAUUAAAUUUAAAUAUUUAUUUAUAAUUGAGAAUUAAAUGACACAAAUUACUCUUUAUUUUAAUUGAUAUUAUUUUAUUAAUAAAAGAUUUCUUUUUUAAUUAAUACAUAGAUUUUUUUAUUAAUAUUUUAAAUAAUAUGGAAUUGGAGGUAGAUAGUUAAACAACAAUACUACCUACCUCUCAUUCAUUAAUUAAUAAAGUUGUGCCACCUACCAAUCACCAUCUUAAUUUAACUCCAGUAUUUAUUCAAUUUAAUCCGAAUUAUUUUAUUUAUAGUGUAUUUGAUUCACACUAAGAGCUUGUUUGUACAUCUUUUGGAAAAACUAAAAAUUACCAUUUAAAAAAGUUGUGAUAAAAAUAUAUUUGGUAAGCAGUUAAAAAAUAGCUUUUAAAAGAAUUUUUAAAAAAGUUACAGCUAAAAGUUAAAGCUGCUCCAAUCUAACUUUUGAAAAAAAUUAUUUUGAUUAAAAAACUAUAAUAAAUUUAUUUGUACUAAAAUCAUAUUCACUUAUUUAUUAUAUAUUAGAAAAAUAAAAAGGGAUAAUUGCGGCAAAAGUCUCCAAAAACUUGGAGUUGAUACAUAUUAGUCCCCAACCUCGAAAAUUGGCGGCAAUAGUCACCAAGGUCACUUUUUUGUAAGUCUGUUAGUCUCUCUUUCUAACAGAUCCGUUAAAUCAAAAUAAAUGACACGUGUCAAUUUUUUAUUAGUCCAAAUAAUAAUUUUAAUUAAAAAAAUUUAAAUUAAUAUAAAAAAUAAAAAAAAUAUUUUAAAUCAUAAAAUUACUUUUUUUUUUCUUUUUCUUUUUCUUCGUCAUCUUCUUCAGACAAUUCCCAGCCAUGACCCUCACCCCAUGCCCAUCUCAGCCACGACCCUCACCACCAAAAUUCACCAAGAAAAUUCAUUUCCAAAAAUUAAGGUUUCUAAUUUUUUUCUUGUAAAGUAAAAAAAUAUCUCAGAUGGGGAAAUUAUUGUCUAAUCUCGACCAACAUAGCACCAAAGCCCUCAAUCUCAUCGUGCUUCAAAGAUCGACCCGUUCAUCGAAGAGAUUGUGAUCACUGAUGCUCAUGUCACUUUCUACAAGUUCAAUAUCGAGAGCAAUCAAUGGAUCCUUAGAAUCUUACGAUUUGAUUGUGAAGGAGCUCCAUUUUCAAGUUUAAUGGAGAACUCUGGUGGUGGUGCUUUAAUUAGAUCCAACCGGUUCUCUCUUAUUAAUUCUCAUCUGUGUAUAUAUAUACAUAUUUUAAUUUUUCUUUAUUUUUUUAUCAAAACAAUGGUGGUGGUUUGAGUAAAAAAAAAAUAGAUUUAAGUUUUCGUUGGAGAUUUGGUUCGUGAGUGUAGCAAACAGGGUUUUGUUUUGUUUCCUGGUUGUCUUUGAUGCCGACGGUGGUAGUCGGUGACCGUGGCUGGGAAUGGGGGUGGUGGCUGGGGAUCGGUAUGGGUAUGAAUCGUGUGAAGAAGACGAAGAGAAAAAAGAAAAGAAAAGAAAAAGAAAAAGAAAAGUUAUUUUAUGAUUUUAAAAUAAUUUUUUUUAGUUUUUUUAUAUUAUUUUAAAUUAUUUUAAUUAAAAUUAUUAUUUGGACUAAUUAAAAAUUGACACGUGGCAUUUAUUUGAGUUUAAUGGAUCAGUUAGAAAGAGGGACCAACGGAGUUACAAAAAAUGUGACCUUGGGGACUAUUACCGCCAAUUUUUUAGGUUGGGGAUUAAUCUUCUUCAACUCUAAGUUUUUGGAGACUUUUGCCGCAAUUAUCCCAAAUAAAAAAGGUAAAUAUCAUUUUGGACCCUGUGUUUUGUAAAAGUUACCAAUUGAACCCUCUAUUUUGUUAAAUGAUAAAAUGAACCCUGUAUUUUCCAAAAUAGUACAAAUAAGACCCUGAACUGAUUUUUGGUCAAAAUAAAAUUUAAUAAUAAUCCAAUCUAAAGGUGUUAUGACAAAACUGUUUACAUUCUCUAUA